AAAUAAUUGUGAGCUUCCCUUCGUUCUUCCGGUUAUGUAUGUUGUUGAAAAGAAAAGACGAAUGCCUGGGGAAAACAAAACACUACGAAUACGGAUAGUGAAAGAUGAGUUCUCAGCCAUUUUCUACAGCUGGAAUGCCUGCUCAGAGUAAUCCUGGUGGAAAGCCGGUCUCCAUCAAUCAGUCAUCCAAACAGCCAGGUUAACAUUUAUAUUGAAUAUUGCGUGUUCCUAAUGGCAUACUAUUCCCUAUAUCAGGGGUUCUCAAACUUUUUGGGGCCAGGGUCCCCUUUUGUGAUACUAAAUUCAUCAGGGACCCCCUCAUAAUCAGAACACAACUCAAGUAAGGUAAUAUAUCAAAUAAAUAGCUUACAAGGAGUUUUACGACGGCCAGACAAACCAAGUCUUGGAGUGUGGGAAGAAACAUUUUAAAGGCCCACCUCUUGGCAUCGG
ensembl:lncRNA